GACGAACGCUGGCGGCGUGCUUAACACAUGCAAGUCGAACGGAAAGGCCUGCUUUCCCUUGUGGAUUGCGGGUACUCGAGUGGCGAACGGGUGAGUAACACGUGAGUGAUCUGCCCCCAACUUGGGUAUAAGCCUGGGAAACUGGGUCUAAUUCCCGAUAGGACUGCAGGGUGGUGCCUGUGGUGGAAAACGAUUUUCUAGUGGUUGGGGAUGAGCUCGCGGCCUAUCAGCUUGUUGGUGGGGUAAUGGCCUACCAAGGCGGCGACGGGUAGCCGGCCUGAGAGGGUGGACGGCCACAUUGGGACUGAGAUACGGCCCAGACUCCUACGGGAGGCAGCAGUGGGGAAUAUUGCACAAUGGGCGGAAGCCUGAUGCAGCGACGCCGCGUGGGGGAUGACGGCCUUCGGGUUGUAAACUCCUUUCGACCGCGAGGAAGCCACCUGGUUGGAAGUGUGGUGACGGUAGUGGUAGAAGAAGCACCGGCUAACUACGUG
rnacentral:rRNA from 1 species